GAGGUUUUAGCUUAAUUAAAGUGUUUGAGUUGCAUUCAGAAGAUGUAUUUUAGAGUAAUACAGGCCUUC
rnacentral:tRNA from 1 species